GAACCGUGCGAACGUUGUUCGGAAUCACUGGGCUUAAAGGGCGCGUAGGCGGCUUGCCAAGUCAGGGGUGAAAUCCUGCAGCUCAACUGUAGAAGUGCCUUUGAUACUGGCGAGCUCGAGGGAGGUAGGGGUGGGUGGAACUUCUGGUGGAGCGGUGAAAUGCGUUGAUAUCAGAAGGAACGCCGGUGGCGAAAGCGACCCACUGGAUCUCUACUGACGCUGAGGCGCGAAAGCCAGGGGAGCAAACGGGAUUAGAUACCCCGGUAGUCCUGGCCCUAAACGAUGGGCACUAGAUUGCAGACUGAUCAUGGGUUUGCAGUCGAAGCAAAAGUGUUAAGUGCCCCGCCUGGGGAGUAUGGUCGCAAGGCUGAA
rnacentral:rRNA from 1 species